rnacentral:misc_RNA from 1 species
UUUCCGUAGGUGAACCUGCGGAAGGAUCAUUAAAAAAUUGGACUCCAUUGGUGAGUUCAUUAAUAAUCCCUACCCUUUGUGAAUUUGUUUGUUUGAAUAAUUUUUUUUCCAAAAAAAAUUAUUGAAUGUCUUUCCUUGUUUUGGUGGAGCUUGUAAAGUGAAACCAGGCAGGGGAAUGGCAAACAAUAAUUAUUUUUGAAAAAGACCUUUUUUUAAAAUUAAACUUUUUGUAUUCAUUUGUCUAAAAUUAAUUUUUAUAAUAUAAAAACAACUUUUGACAAUGGAUCUCUUGGUUCUCGCAACGAUGAAGAACGCAGCAAAAUGCGAUAAGUAGUGUGAAUUGCAGAAUACGUGAAUCAUCGAAUCUUCGAACGCAUAUUGCACUUUUUUAGUUUACUAAAAAAGUAUGUCUGUUUGAGUAUCAGUAAAAUAUUCUCAUAAAAAACAUUGUUUUUUUUAUGGUUAUGAGUGUUUUACAACGAUAACAAGUUGUUUCACUUUAAAUUCUUUGUUAUCAAAAAAAUCAUUAAAAGCUAAUUUUAAAGAUUUUUUAAAAUUGGAUAAAAUUUUCCCGUAAAAAGGAAUAACCUAAACAAUUUUAAAAAAUUAAAAUUGGUUUGAUUUUUUUUGAAACCCAAAGGAAAAAAAAACGAAAUUAACUUGAUCUCAAAUCAGAUAAGAGUACCCGCUGAACUUAAGCAUAUCAAUAAGCGGAGGAAAAGAAACUAACUAGGAUUCCCUCAGUAACGGCGAGUGAAGCGGGAAGAGCUCAAAUUUGAAAUCUUCAAGGUUUUACCUUGACGAAUUGUAGUUUAAAGAAGUGUUUUCUGUUGGAGUUUUGGUAAAAGUUCUUUGGAAAAGGACAUCAUAGAGGGUGAGAAUCCCGUAUUUGACCAUUAUCUCCAGCUUUGUGAUACACUUUCAAAGAGUCGGAUUGUUUGGGAAUGCAGUCCAAAAUGGGUGGUAAAUUUCAUCUAAAGCUAAAUACUGGCGAGAGACCGAUAGCGAACAAGUACCGUGAGGGAAAGAUGAAAAGAACUUUGAAAAGAGAGUUAAACAGUACGUGAAAUUGUCAAAAGGGAAGCGUUUGACACCAGUGUUGUUUUCUCGAAAAUCAAUUAAAAAAGGCCGGAUUUUGUGUUGUAUUGACUUUAUCAGCUUUCUGCACUCUUUUCUUGUCUUUUUUAAUGCACUUUUCGUUUAACAAGUCAACAUCAAUUUCUUUUGUUGUAAAAGGGUCAUUGGAAGGUGGCUUUCUUUUCGGAGAAAGUGUUUAUAGCCUUUGGCCUCUGCAAUCGGAGAGAUUGAGGUCUGCAGCGUAGAUCCUUCGGGGUUAGAUACAUUUGUGCUAAGUUAUAGCCUUUCAUAGACAACUUGUUGACUAUGAUCAGUCAUGUAGCUUACUCGCUUAUGCUAUUU